rnacentral:rRNA from 1 species
CGUAGGGUGCAAGCGUUAAUCGGAAUUACUGGGCGUAAAGCGUGCGCAGGCGGUUUCGUAAGUCUGUCGUGAAAUCCCCGGGCUUAACCUGGGAAUGGCGAUGGAGACUGCGAGGCUAGAGUUUGGCAGAGGGGGGUAGAAUUCCACGUGUAGCAGUGAAAUGCGUAGAGAUGUGGAGGAACACCGAUGGCGCAGGCAGCCCCCUGGGUCAAAACUGACGCUCAUGCACGAAAGCGUGGGGAGCAAACAG